rnacentral:rRNA from 1 species
AGUGAACGCUGGCGGUAGGCCUAACACAUGCGAGUCGAACGGCAGCACAGUAAGAGCUUGCUCUUACGGGUGGCGAGUGGCGGACGGGUGAGGAAUACAUCGGAAUCUACUUUUUCGUGGGGGAUAACGUAGGGAAACUUACGCUAAUACCGCAUACGACCUACGGGUGAAAGCAGGGGAUCUUCGGACCUUGCGCGAUUGAAUAAGCCGAUGUCGGAUUAGCUAGUUGGCGGGGUAAAGGCCCACCAAGGCGACGAUCCGUAGCUGGUCUGAGAGGAUGAUCAGCCACACUGGAACUGAGACACGGUCCAGACUCCUACGGGAGGCAGCAGUGGGGAAUAUUGGACAAUGGGCGCAAGCCUGAUCCAGCCAUACCGCGUGGGUGAAGAAGGCCUUCGGGUUGUAAAGCCCUUUUGUUGGGAAAGAAAAGCAGCAGGUUAAUACCCCGCUGUUCUGACGGUACCCAAAGAAUAAGCACCGGCUAACUUCGUG